CUGUUUCAUUCUGAACACAUUUGUGUGGGAGAUAUUCUCAAAUGACAUGUCUUGAACUCAAAUUUCUAAGUCGAAUAUCUCAAGUUUAGAUUUGACUCUUCAACAAUUUUAUUCAUAAUUUUACACUGACUUGAAUUUUCACUCAACAGAAACAAAAAAACUGUUUAAAGGGACAGAAAACAGUCUGGAGAAACGACCUGUCAAAGAAGGAAAGAAUCUACAAGAUUGGCAUCAGGUGAAAGGAUUCAAAGAGAACAUUACUAUGGAUGAAAACACUGCUCAUGGUACAAUUAGAGUGACUCAAGACGGAAAGACAGCUCAUUACAUCAAAGAAAAAGAAACUAUGAAAUCUUCCGAUCAAAGGCAUCCUCAUGUAUUGGCUAAUCAGAGUUUCGGAUCAGAACAACACUACUGGGAAGUUAAGGUGAGGGAUGAAACCGUGGAUAAAGCAGUGGGUGACUGUGGGCAACUGUCAUGGUAUGUUGGUGUGGCCAGAGAUAAUGCUAAGAGAACAUCUACAGUCGCUGUAACACCUCUUCAUGGAUUCUGAACUCUCUUUUAUGAAGAAGGAAAGGGUUUCCAUGUCAAUACUGACCCUCCAACCUCAGUACAUGUGAGCAAAGAUCUCUCUAUGGUAGGAGUGUUUCUAGACUGUGACAAUCAAUCUCUGUCUUUUUAUAAUGUUGAUACAGAGUCACAUAUCUACACUUUUUGGAAUGUGGUGACAUCACACAAGUUUACUCCUUUGUUCAGCCCUGGACAACAUGACCCACACCCAAUAACAAUAUUGAAUGAAAACUAAGAGAUGAGGGUUAAAACAUGUCACAUGAGACAUGUCCAACAAUACUGCUCUUCAAUAGAACAGACAUGUUGAAGACAGGAACACGUGGUCAGAGAUAUAAUUGUAUACCUGAGUGUUAUUUAGUGAUGUCCAGGUGUAUAUGGUUUGUCGUCUGAGGCACAAGGGUAAUCAAAACAACUACAAUUGUUCAACUUGUUACUACUUGUAGUGAGAUUUUUGAUGUACACUGUAAUUCAACUGUAAUAAAAGCUAGCA